GACGAACCGAGCGAACGUUAUUCGGAAUCACUGGGCUUAAAGGGCGCGUAGGCGGGCCGUCACGUCAGGGGUGAAAGCCCCCAGCUCAACUGGGGAAGUGCCUCUGAUACUGGCGGCCUCGAGGGAGGUAGGGGCGUGCGGAACUUCCGGUGGAGCGGUGAAAUGCGUAGAUAUCGGAAGGAACACCGGUGGCGAAAGCGGCGCGCUGGACCUCUUCUGACGCUGAGGCGCGAAAGCGUGGGGAGCAAACAGG
rnacentral:rRNA from 1 species